rnacentral:rRNA from 1 species
GAUGAACGCUGGCGGUGUGCCUAAUACAUGCAAGUCGAGCGAACAGACGAGGAGCUUACUCCUCUGACGUUAGCGGCGGACGGGUGAGUAACACGUGGAUAACCUACCUAUAAGACUGGGAUAACUUCGGGAAACCGGAGCUAAUACCGGAUAACAUGUUGAACCGCAUGGUUCAACAGUGAAAGACGGUCUUGCUGUCACUUAUAGAUGGAUCCGCGUCGCAUUAGCUAGUUGGUAAGGUAACGGCUUACCAAGGCAACGAUGCGUAGCCGACCUGAGAGGGUGAUCGGCCACACCGGAACGUAGACACGGUCCAUACUCCUACGGGAGGCAGCAGUAGGGAAUCUUCCGCAAUGGGCGAAAGCCUGACGGAGCGACGCCGCGUGAGUGAAGAAGGUCUUCGGAUCGUAAAACUCUGUUAUUAGGGAAGAACAAAUGUGUAAGUAACUAUGCACGUCUUGACGGUACCUAAUCAGAAAGCCACGGCUAACUACGUG